CACAGUGGAUCCAAAUUGAAAAAUGGUGGACAUAGGCAACAAAGUUCCAAUAUCGAUUUGAUAUUUUUUUAUGUGAUUCUACAUGAUAUUCCAAACAACUUUUACUCUUGUGAAAUUUCUUCUAAAGUUGAUCGUUUGUCUGAAAAAAAAUAAAUUAGUUUUUUUUGUAUGGAGCGAAUCACGUUUAUUUUUUUUUCUUCAAUUGUACGAAUAUGUUAGGUCUGUGGCGUGAGUAUAUGAUACCUAGGGUCAUUCUCUAUCCAAGAAAAAAUAUAUCAGCGCCGGCCAUCUGCAGCCGCGCGAGUAAUCAUUCGGUAAAAAAAUAAUAUUUUCUAUGACAUUUUUUGCCUUUUAAGAUCAAUUCAAAGUAUAUUUUCUGUCUCACUUGGCUGUUUUCACCUUAUUUUUGGUUAAAUAUAUAGUUCUAAUGGCACAUAGGUACUCACAACUAGUAAUUCUAGCAGAGGUUUUUGCAUGCAUUGCAUUUUAUCGGUGGCACCUGCAUUGUGAUUGAUGACUCAAAUGUUUGUGCGCUCGUUUAAGCGCAUAACUAAUUAGUCAUCGAAAAAUGCUCGUCUCUGAUUUGCUGUAUUUUUUUUUACUACCUGCUAGUCAUGUUAAUAUGUUCACUACUUGAGUAAUUAACACUGACUAUAAAUACAAAGACAUUUAUUAUGUCCCUCUAGUUUCGCGCUUGUCGCUUAUUUGUGAACACGGUGAAAUACUUUUAUUUGAAUAUUUACGUUAGAACUAUGGCUGGAUUUUGUACCAACCUAGAUCUUUUUGUGAAAUUAAGAAGUGGUGGUGAUCUGAAAAAUUAUAUGUUUCUAUAUAAAAGUAUAAUUUCUGUUUUGAAUACCACAGUUUCUGAAGAAGACAAAAACCUAAUCAGGGAGUUCUGUCGGCUUUUUUGUGUAAGUCUAAAUAAAAAGUGGAUAGAGUCGAGUAGAAGUCAAAAAACUUUUAUGAAUCGUAUAAAUAAUCGCAAUUGGUUGGAAAAAAAUAUCAACUGGCCUGUUUGUGGCAGUGUUGACCUGAAAAGUGAGGGGCUUUUCGGACGCAGACUUAUCUGAGCCAGUGGAUGUGAAUUGUCCUAACCUUGCGGUAUGUACUACGGAAGCGGGAACAUCUACAGAAAAGGAGCACAGAAAACCGUUCGAAGACUUAAGUAAUAAGCAGAAAAAAGACGUUCUACUUCCAUAGUAGAAGAAAAUUCAGAGGAAGAGUUGCAGGACUGGUACUUAACAAAAUUGAAAGACAACGGCAAAACGAAUCUGGCAAAAGUAGUCGAAUACCUUUCCAGUAAUCCAGAAACGCUAUCCCAAGUACACGAGCGACUAUUCAAAAAGCAGAGCCUAAGUACCGUCUCUGAAGAUAAUUGCUUAGCUCUUUAUACCUCACUUGCGCUCUCGAGAUGGAAGUACUUACUUAAGACUUCAGAAACGUCAGAGAGAGACAAACUCGGAAAACGGACAGAACAGCAACAAACGAAGACAUCCUCCCAUGGACUUCUAAUAAGCUCUGAUCCCCACAUAUCCUACAUAAGGCCUAAAAUAACGAAACAGGUUCAUGCUGAGUGGUUCCCUGAAGCAAUUCAGUUGUUACAGACUACCGAGCCUCCCUGUGAUAGCGAGAUUAUGGAGGAAGAAGAAUGCCUCAUAGCAGAGUCCGAAAAUUUGCCGGACCCACUUCUGGAAUAAGAAAUAAAGUGAUCCGGCUCUGGACUGUUCCCACAAAAGCCCAUCAGGGCUGGUAUGACAAACAGCCCCUUUCAGGGCUACAAUGAUUUCACAAUGUUCUUUCGAUCAUACGUAGCAGGUAGUAAAAAAAAAUACAGCCAAUCAGAGACGAGCAUUUUUCGAUGACUAAUUAGUUAUGCGCUUAGACGAGCGCACAAACAAAUGAGUCAUCAAUCACAAUGCAGGUGCCACCGAUAACAUGCAAUAAUAACAAAACCUCUGCUAGAAUUACUAGUUGUGAGUACCUAUGAGCCAUUAAAACUAUAUAUUUAGCCAAAAAUAAGGUGAAAACAGCCAAGUGAGACAGAAAAUAUACUUUGAAUUGAUCUUAAAAGGCAAAAAAUGUCAUAGAAAAUAUUAUUUUUUUACCGAAUGAUUACUCGCGCGGCUGCAGAUGGCCGGCGCUGAUAUA